GGGCGCCCGGCAGCAGUGAAGGCAGGUGCCUCUGCUUUGCCGUUAAAGCUACAAUUGAAGAAAUAGUGGGAAGUUCUUUCAGCUGUGACUCAGCUGGUCAGACAGCAAUUAGGGUUGCCACCUGCUGCUGCCUUCCUGAGCUGAUUGCAUGGGACAGAGGCACUCUGUCUUUUACCUACCUGCCGCCUCAGGACCUCAGGAGGACCUCAGGAACCCAGGAUCUGAUCACUACGGCCCUUGGUUUAUGCCGCACGCUCACGACUGGUCCAGUGUGUUAAUUUUAUGUGCGUAUGUGUGUAAUAAGUCCUGUGAGCCCACCACCAACACGAAAACCAGAUCAUCGUCCGUAACUUGCUUCUAUUGAGGGCCUGUGCUCUCCCUCACCCAGGUUUCUCUUUCCAUCGUUCCUGGAACCAUGCUGAGUCUGGCUUGCUGUGACUCCAGCAAGAUGGGUGAGCAGAGGCCCCGCACAGUGAGUGGCGAGCUGGGGUCUGAACCGGAGCCUGCGCAGCUCUGAGGCUGUGCUCCCUUAGCUCUGGGCAGCUGCUCCCCGACCAGCUCCAGUGGGCAGGCUGUCCAACACAGAAUCACCAGGGGCUGGUGCAUGGAA